rnacentral:misc_RNA from 1 species
AUAAGAAUUUAUUAGAGAUGGGAAUAGAAAAUUUUAAGAUUGUAUUAGAUAUCCCAAAUGCUGUUUACUAUGCCGGUUCUGUAGUAUCUGGAAAAUUACAAUUUCGUUUGAAUAAACAAACACAAAUAAGAGGUGUAAAACUUCAUUUUCUUGGAGAAGCUAAAGUUUCGUUCAAGAGUUUAUAUAAAACAUCCAGGAGUGGCGAAAAUCCGAAACAUGAGGUGGUUACCUUUUGUGCUUCUGAAGAAUACUUUUCCAUAAUGUACUACCUCCUGGGUAGCUCUAACAGUGAAAUGCAGCUACUGCCAGGAGAAUAUGUGUAUCCAUUUACCACGACUCUGCCGACUAUACUGCCUUCGUCUUUUGAGAGUGAACAUGGCAAAAUUCGAUAUUUCAUUAAAGCUAAAGUAGAAAUCCCCUGGGGUGUUGAUUUCAAAGUGGAGAAAACAUUCAGCAUUAAGACUAAUGUUGAUCUCAACAACAUCGCAGAAGCUAAGAAGCCAAUAAAACGACAAGUGGAAAAGACGUUCUGCUGCAUGUGGUGUCGCUCGGGCCCUCUGACGAUGGUCCUGAACUUGCCACAAGCUGGAUAUGUGCCAGGCCAGAACAUCCCUGUGAUCCUGGAGGUGGACAAUGCAAGUAACGUGGAUGUAGACAAUGUUGUCAUAAAGUUACAGAAGGUUAUCAAAUGGAAGGCUAGUGUACCUGAGAGUAAAACGAAGACAGACAUUGUGGACCUGGUGGAACUCUCUAUUGGCGGUGUCCGCGGCAAAGGCUCAAAGACAUUCACUCAACAAUUUUCAGUUCCUGUGGUCCCUGUAUACAGCCUGCACCCUUGUUCCAUUAUGACAUGUGACUAUAUUUUCAAGGUGAAAGCAGAAACAGGUAGCUGCCAUGUUAAUCUGACCCAAGAAGUGCCUGUGUUUCUGGGCACUGUGCCAGUGUACAAGAAUGGAGAAGCACCUCCUGUAGAUUCCUCCGAAUCAUUACAACAGUCUCACAAAGCCACUAUGCCUAUGACACAACCACCCUUCAAUCCUUCCAUGCCAACAACACAACAGCCAUUCAAUCCUUCUAUGCCGACAGCACAACAGCCAUUCAAUCCUUCUGUGCCGACAGCACCACAGCCAUUCAAUCCUUCCAUGCCGAACGCACAACAGCCAUUCAAUCCUUCCAUGCCGACAGCACAACAGCCACUCAAUCCUUCUAUGCCGACAGCACAACAGCCAUUCAAUCCUAUGCAGACAGCACAACAGUCAUUCAAUCCUUCUAUGCCGACAGCACAACAGCCAUUCAAUCCUUCUUUGCUGACAGCACCACAGCCAUACAACUAUGUUAUGCCGACAGCACCACAAUCAUUCAAUCCUUCUACACCGAUGGCACAACAACCUUUCAACCCUUCUGUGCAGAUGGCACAACAACCUUUCAAUCCCUCGAUGCCGAUGACACAGAACUCAUCUGAUCCUUUCCAAAUGCCUCCUUUCAAUCCUCAAAUGUAUGUGGCACAAUCUACCUCAAAUCCUUCAGCAGAAUUUUCCUCCAGCUAUCUCACUCCCUUGUUGCCAAAACCAAUCAUGCCCAUGACUCACCCACCCAAUCAGGGCGGCAGGACCCAAUAAGGACUUAUUACUGAUGCUCAAACUGUUGCUCCUUAAAUCACGGAUGCCUUUGGAUGCCUUGAUUUCUGUAAUAUGUAAUUAAGUGCAUACUGGAAUGAAAGAUUUCCUAUAAGUUAGAGUACUUGAAAUGCUGAUUCUAUGAGAUUUUGAUGCUCAAACUUUUGCC